rnacentral:pre_miRNA from 1 species
CUUAUUUGAAAUUUUGUAUGAUUAGCAUUUUUAUUAAUCAUCCCUCUUAUUUAAAAUUUUGUAUGAUUAGCAUUUUUAUUGUUAUUAGGUGAUAAAACAUGAAUAGUACUUUAUACGUGAGAGCGUGACUUAUGCUUUUUAAUUUGGUAAAAAAAAUCAAAUAGGACAGACAAUUAAAAUUGGACACGGAAACUCAUCGCUGCGUUUAAA